AACGUAGGAGGCAAGCGUUAUCCGGAGUUACUGGGCGUAAAGAGUGCGUAGGCGGACCUGUAAGUGGGUGGUGAAAGCGCCCGGCUAAACCGGGCGAGGUUCAUUCAGACUGCAGGUCUAGAGGCGGAUAGAGGGGGGUAGAAUUCCACGUGUAGCAGUGAAAUGCGUAGAUAUGUGGAGGAAUACCGAUGGCGAAGGCAGCCCCCUGGGAUAACACUGACGCUCAUGCACGAAAGCAUGGGGAGCAAACAGG
rnacentral:rRNA from 1 species